rnacentral:lncRNA from 1 species
UUCAGCAGCGCGGCAGAGUCAUGGGGGAACUGAAACUCAAGCUCCUUGAUCACUGGCAACCUAGAAGAGUCUGUGGGUUCGUGGUCUCGCUGACUUCAAGAAUGAAGCCGCAGACCUUCACAGCAAGUGUUACCAGCUCUUAAAGGUGGUGCGGACCCAAAGAGUGAGCAGCAGCAAGAUUUAUGGUGAAGACCGAAAGAACAAAGCUUCCACAGUGUGGAAGGGGGACCUGAGCGGGUUGCCACUGCUGGCUAGGGUGGCCAGCUUUUAUUCCCUUAUUUGUCCCUGCCCAUGUCUGCUGAUUGGUCCAUUUUACAGAGUGCUGAUUGGUGCGUUUUUACAGAGUGCUGAUUGGUGCAUUUACAAUCCUGUAGCUAGACACAGAGCGCUGAUUGGUGCGUUUUUACAGAAUGCUGAUUGGUGCAUUUACAAUCCUCUAGCUAGACACAGAGCACUGAUUGGUGCAAGUAUCCACCCGACCCAGAAGCCCAGCUGGCUUCACCUCCCACUAGUAUCUUCUUUUGUUUAUGUUGUGUAUUUUGUGUAUCUAGAUCACGUUUUAGUAGCUUGUAGUUCCCUGUUACUGGGAAGCAUUUCAUUGCCUCCCAGCUUGGGAGCAUCCAAAGUAGAACCAUGACUGGGUCAUGAAAUGGGUUAAUUUGGUUUCUUUCAUUACAGGGCAAAGUUCUCCCUGUGGACUGAGAAAUAAACAUAUUAUAAAAGUUACAUAUGCUCAUAGAAUAGAAAUCAAAGAGUAAAAAGUAUUGAGUGUAAAAAACAA